GUCCUGUUCCAUUCUAUGGAUAUUUCUGGCCUUGGCUUCUGAUAUCCAGUACUCUUUUUACAAUUCUUGUUUAGUUUCUCUUGGUUUUUCUGGUUUUCUAUUCUAUGUCUGUUUUUCCUUAUGCUGGGUUCUCUGGGUUCAUUCCUUUAUUCCGUUCCUGGAAUUCCCAGUCUCCUGGAUUCCUUUAAAUGUUUGGUUUUUGUUGCCACACCCUUUCCUUUGCCAUUAAUCCUUUUUUGUUUUAGUCUGUUCCUGCAGGC